CAGGAAGUAGUUUAAGUAGAAUGUCAGCUUUGGGGGUUGAUGGUAGGGUGUGUUGCUCUCUUCUUGA
rnacentral:tRNA from 1 species